UAUGGCAGAAAUCAUGCAAUGAACUUAAGAUUCAUCUAUAAAGAGUUAUCUUUUAUUAGAA
rnacentral:tRNA from 1 species